rnacentral:tRNA from 1 species
GGAGCCUCGACUCUGGAGUCUCAGAUGGCGGCGCUGGGGACCCACAUUCCUAAGUCUUCUAGCAAGGGCCGCGAGGCGUGAGAAUCCGGAACUGGCAAUGCACUGUCUCCUAUUGGUCAAUGCAAAAUGUUUAAUUUGCAUAUAUAACACAAGGCGGGGCCCUCCGGUGAGGUCACGUGGCUAUGAACCACUGAAGAAGACCCCGGCGCAGGGGUGCGGCCGGAGCUCCAGUGGCGCAAUCGGUUAGCGCGCGGUACUUAUAUGACAGUGCGAGCGGAGCAAUGCCGAGGUUGUGAGUUCGAUCCUCACCUGGAGCACUUUUUUUCCCCAUCAGUUUUUAUAAACUUACACAUCUAAUAAACCAACCAAAACAUCUACAUCACUUAGAUGAAUGAACGUUUCUAUCUUUUGAAUUAUUGGGCUCAAAAGACUCCUAGGGCUUUGGCGACGGUCCUUUGGGUGUUCUGUAUUGUAGGGAGGUGCCGUUUCCGUCCCAGCCACCAGGUGGGGGUAUCGUCUCUUAUUAGAUGCUCUGGGCAUGGAAUUGUGUGCAAACAGUUUGACUUCUGUAGAGAUGUGGGUCCUCGGCAAACUGUAUAUGACUCUGCCUCCUCUGUAUUUCUCUGUCUUUUUAAUGCCUCCUUUACAGAUGAACAUAGCUAUCUGUCUUGGAGUUUUCGACCUCUGUUGAAAAGGAAAACUAUGUUUUUGAGUCGACUUGUUUUUUCAAUAAAUAUUGAACAUUCACUAUGCCUGGCUUCCUUUAGCUGUGUGUAAUACAGCAGUGAACAAGUAGUCCCUGCCCCUGAGGACGCGACAUUCUAGUGGGGAGGCAGAUUGCUGUCAACAUAAGAAUUAAGUACAUUUUAAUGUUAGGUGGUGAUGAUAAAUGUCAUGGAAAAAGUCGAGCAAGGUAGGGAGGAUGGGGUAGUUGGAGGUGGGGUGUGGAUUGCAACAGCAGUGGUCAGGGAGGAUCUCACAGAGAAGGCAACUUUUGAGCAGAGACAUGAAGGAGGGGAGUGAGCCAUGGGGACACCAGGGGAGUGUUCAGGCAGAGGGAACAGCUAGUGCAAAGCUCCUAUGGAUGAAGCAGACCAGACUUGGUAGAGCAGCUAGGAGGCCAGUGUGGCUGGAGCAGAGUGGCCAAGGGGGAGGGUAAGCGAUGGGUGCCAGAUUGUGUGGGCUGUGGGGAGGACUUCGGACUUUGACUUUUAUGUGACCUGACUCAGGUCUCAUAACAGGCUUCCUUUGGUUGUCUCGUGGGGGAGUGGAGAAAGGAGAGACUGAAGGCAGGGGCUAGAGCAGAGACUGGGGCUGGGGCUGCUAUGAAGAUGCAAAUGGCAGACGAUGUUGGCUAGGACCAGGGUGGGGGUCAUGGUGGGGGCAGGUGGAUAGUGGAUCUAUUUUGCAGGUGGAUCAGACAGGAUUGCUGUUGGACUGGGGUGUGGAUUUGAGAACAAGGUGUCAAGGGAUACUCCUGGGUGUCUGGCUUAAGCCCUGGUAGAUGGUGAACGGCCAGGCCCGGUGACGUCACUUCCUGCCAGGUAAGCGCCGCGGGGCUCGGAGAGGAAGAGUUAACUGCACCCAGCUUCCAAAAAGUCACCCCCUCCCUCUCCAUUCCUGUCUCUAGACCGCGAAGAAGCCAGGAUCCCAGCUUACACUCAGAUUGUUUAUUUAAAAAUGCCCAAAACACAAAAAUAGACUUUUAAGGUAAUAAUAUAUAUUACUAAAUAUAUUAUAGUCUACUUAUAAUAAUUAUAUCGUCGUUUUCAAUAUUACAAAAAAAGGAAGAAAAAUACAAGGGAAGCAGACGACCCAAUAUAUAUAAAUACUAUAAAAUCAUAUUAGAA